rnacentral:rRNA from 1 species
UACGGGGGGAGCAAGCGUUGUUCGGAUUUACUGGGCGUAAAGGGCGCGUAGGCGGUCAGCACAAGUCAGUUGUGAAAUCUCCGGGCUUAACCCGGAAAGGUCAACUGAUACUGUGCGACUAGAGUGCGGAAGGGGCAACUGGAAUUCUCGGUGUAGCGGUGAAAUGCGUAGAGAUCCGGAGGAACACCAGUGGCGAAGGCGGCCUUCUGGGUCCGCCCUGACGCUGAGGCGCGAAAGCGUGGGGAGCGAACGGG